rnacentral:sRNA from 1 species
GUCCUGGUUACCGGGAGUGGGGCGCCCCUCCUCCUUAUCCCCUCCCCUCUUCCCUGUCCCCCUUCACAGCUGGCUGUAGCUGGCCAAGGAGGUCUCGAUUAAAGAGGAAGGGGCAGUGCUCACAUUUCUGGGUAGGGCCGGGCUCAUUAGCCCUCUGAGUCCUUUGAGCCCUCUAGGCCCACCGACGCCCCUGCCUGCACCCCCACCCCCACCCCCACCCCCGGGCCUCCCCACCUACGAGCAGGCGCUGGCAGCCUCUGGGGUGCACGACGCACCUCCACCCCCCUACACCAGCCUCAGGAGGCCUCACUGAAGAGUUGCUUUCGAGACCCGGCUCUCCGAACCGUGUCCCUGAUUCAUACCGGAUUCCGGAAGCUCCUAGGCCUCGUAGACGCCGAAGCGGACUUGGAGGGGGGGAUGGUGGGAGUAGGGGUCAUCCGGCCCGAGG